rnacentral:misc_RNA from 1 species
AAAGCAACAGAGAAGCGAAAGCUGAACGGCGUACUGCAGUAAGUACAGAUACACGGCCACGACGCACCCUUAGAGUGUCGCCCCCACUUUUACCGCAUCGCUGUCUCUUACUCGGCUCUCCUUCACUGUUCAAGCCGCCCCAUGACGGAUCUGAGAGGAGUGCCGCCCAGCAAGGUGAUCUCCACCCCAAGCGGUUUCGUGCAGUGCAGCACGCACAAUGUCCGGCGCAAGGCCGAGUGCUGCGAGAUGAAGGCGGUGCUGAACGCUGAUAUGGAGGUGAUUGACUACAUCUGCGUCUGCAAGCAUCCCUUCACGUGCAGGUCGGCUAGUGAGCGGCAGAGCAAUGGCCUAGCGGCCGCUUCGAACGCUCGCAGAAACGCUCCGGAUGGUGAGAGCAGCGGCGCUGCGCCGCUCGUCAUAGACGCCAGCAGCACGAGCAUGACGGCUCAAUCAAAGCAUCAUCACCAUGGUGGGCAGCCCAGUGCCGCCAGGGCAGCAGAUAGGGAGGCCGGCGUGAGCACUCUCUUCGCCGUGUCCUUUUACGAUGCCUCGCGCAGCCCGCCAGGCCCGAGCACCUCUGCCACCGCUGCCGCCGUCUCGCCGAAACCGUCCGCUAAAGACGGGGAAGAUAGGGGGGACGAGAACGACGAAGGCACGAAGGCUAAUGCAAUGACGAUCAGCGACAGCGACAGCGACACCGAUGACGUGGACUCCCUCGACAACUCGGCUCCGUUCACCGCCGGCGCUACCCCAGCCACCGCCGCCGCCGCAUCGUUCCCUGCCGCUCCACGAGAACGCCCGCGCUACUACGACUCCGUGCAGAACGCCAGCACCGGCGGCCACGCCCCGCCGGCCAAGGUGUGCUGGGGCUGCGGCAUGUCAGGACACGAGAAGCCCGCUUGCCCCAACGCGCUGUGCCGCACCUGCCACCAGAAGCGCGGCCCGUACGGGUCGCCGCACCGAUGUACGCCCGUGGUCACGCCGUCGCCGUUCAUCGUGUACCCGACGCCGUCCGAGUGGCGUGCGGCAACUCAGAAGACGGCGGCCGCAGCGGGGGAGCCGAACGGCAUGGCAGCCGUGCGCUGUGUGGCGUGCAACGAGUACGGUCACUUCGACUGCUCCACUGUGGUGCUGCCCUCCUCGUACGCCUUGGUUGCUUCGUCGUCCACCGGCCCUGCCGCAGUGCCGCACACACUCAUCCCCACCUGCUGCUUCUGUGGCGUCCGCGGGCACACCGUCUUCGACUGCCAGCAGCGUGAGCACGCCAACCCUGACUACUUUGAGCGACGCAACCAACUCUUCGCGGAUUCCGUGCGCCGUGGCAGCAGCAUUACAACAGCUGGUGCGCCCUUCAACAACAGUGGUAGUAGCAGCGGCUACGGACACCCCUCGCAACAGCAACACCAGCAGCGGUUCUACGGCAGUCCCCCCGGCGGGGCACCGUCAUCGUCCUCCUCGUUCACGCGCUACGGCAACCACCGCGGCGGUGGUGGGGGUGGCCAGCGCCGUGAGCGAGACUGGUGCGACAAUCGCGAGCAGCGCGUAGGGGGCAACCAGUACAGCAACAGCCACCGCGAGGGCAGCGCGUACUACAACGACUCCUACGGUGGCGAUCGGGAUCAUCAGCGACGGCGCUACGAGUCUCCGUCGUUCUCUCGUGCCGGCGGCGGCCCUGCCCCCUCGUCUUCGCCUCUUCUGCACGGUCGAGACCGCUUUCAAGAGGGUGGUCAGCGGCACCAUGAGGAGCGGUCUCGUGACAGCUAUGCUGGCAGCCACCAACGCUACUCAGAGGGCGAGCAUGGCGGUGCUGGGUCGCGUGGCCAUGACCAGCGGUUGCAUUAUUCGCAGCAGUCGCAGCACUCCCACCGUCACGGCUCAUCGCGCCGCGGCGGCCGUCUUGGGGACAGCGGUUACUACAGCGACGACAACCUGUUUUAGAGCCCUUGAGAGGUGCGCAAAAGUUACUGUCAUGGUGAGCGGUGAUGACGGUGGUGAUGAAUGGGGCGUGCACUUGGGCUGGGAAGGGUGGGUGGAGGGGAAGGGGUCGAGUGCACGGCGACUUGUGUAACCGCCCGAUGCAUCAGCCAUGACGGUGGCCGAGGCUACGGCGUAGGCCGUUGAACACGCGUCCGGCCCCUCCUUGUUUCGUGCCUGAGACCUCACCUUCACUUUGAGCGUGUGCCUCUGUCUCUGUGCGUUGCCUUGCGCCAAAGGACGUUGACUGUGCUGCGCUGUUCCCCACCCGCCCAUCGCUCAUGCAGCUUCUCUGUGGCUGCAUGUGCACGCGCGUGUGGCUGCUGCUGUAGCUGCGCGCCGAAGUUGAUAAUGCCGUAUACAUAUAUAUGUUAAAGAAGAAAGGCCCUACAUGUCGCCCCAAAGAGAGACACCCCUGCUGCGCCUGUACGCACGCGUACGUCAGUGAGCGCCAGCCCUCGCAGCUGCACCGUUCACGCUGCGCGGACGUCUUCAUAUGAAGGCAUCGAGGAGGAGGAGACUGGGCAGACAGGCCGGCUUCUUUCUUCGGCUUGCUGCCUUCCUCUCUUUUUGCUCUUUCUCUUGUGCACCCGCCGGCGGGCAAGUAGCGCAGCAGCACUCAGUGCUAGUGUCGCAAUGACCUCCAGCUUGGAGUAGGUGUGUGUGCGUGUGUGGAUGCGGUUGCCGAGAAGGG